GGGAGGCAGAUGAUGAAUAAAUGAACAAAAAAUAUAAUAAUGGAUAUGUAUUUAUAAGUGCUAUGAAGAGAAGAAAUCCAAGCAAGAAGAGAGUGAAAUGAGGGUCUCACUGGGUUUCCCAAGAACUGGAGUGUGGUGGUUCACUGCAGACUCAAUCUUCCCAGCUCAAGUGAUCUUCCCACUUCAGCCUCCCUUGUUGUUGGGACUACAGUCACGUGCCACCACACUAGGCUAAUCCAGGUAAUAUUUUUUUUUGGUGAGGGGGUGGGAACAGAGUUUUGCCAUGUUGCCCAGGCUGGUCUCAAACUCCUGGGCUCAAGAUAUCUGCCUGCCUUGGCCUCCCACAGUGCUGGGAUUAUAGGUGUGAGCCACCCCUCCUGGCCCAGGGUUAUGUUCUUAAUUGAAAUAAUGAAGUAAAGAGAUUAGAGAUUGUGAUUUGAGAUUGUCUGCAUCUUAGAAAUUAUUAUGAAAUUUUGAUAUUGGGGAAAAUUUCUAAUUUGUGUAAGUCUGAUUUGAAAAUUUGAUUGAGUGUAUACCUUACUUUUUUUUAAAAAAUAUGCUGUUUAAAUUUU
rnacentral:lncRNA from 1 species